rnacentral:misc_RNA from 1 species
AAGUCGUAACAAGGUUUCCGUAGGUGAACCUGCGGAAGGAUCAUUAUUGAAUAAACCUGAUGUAGUUGUUGCUGGCUCUCUCGGGGAGUAUGUGCACACUCAUCAUCUUUAUAUUUCCACCUGUGCACCUUUUGUAGACUCGGAGAAUUUGAGCAAUCAAGUUGUUUGGGCCUACGUUUUAUCAUAUACCCCAUAGUAUGUAUUAGAAUGUAUCAGUGGGCUUUGUGCCUAUAAACACUAUACAA